rnacentral:ncRNA from 1 species
AAUCCGAAUGGCCAUCGACGGGUAAAAGAAUCAACAACAUUCGCGAAGGCCCACGGCGGGUGUUGACGCGAUGUGAUUUCUGCCCACUGCUCUGAAUGUCAAAGUGAAGAAAUUCAAUGAAGCGCGGGUGUAAAACGGCGGAGUGUAACUAUGACUCUCUUAAGUAGCCAAAUGCCUCGUCUCUAAUUAGUGACGCGCAUGAAUGGAUGAACGAGAUU